GACGAACGCUGGCGGCGUGCCUAAUACAUGCAAGUAGAACGCUGAAGGAAGGAGCUUGCUCUUUCCGGAUGAGUUGCGAACGGGUGAGUAACGCGUAGGUAACCUGCCUGGUAGCGGGGGAUAACUAUUGGAAACGAUAGCUAAUACCGCAUAACAGUAGAUAUCGCAUGAUAUGUGCUUGAAAGGUGCAAUUGCACCACUACCAGAUGGACCUGCGUUGUAUUAGCUAGUUGGUGAGGUAACGGCUCACCAAGGCAACGAUACAUAGCCGACCUGAGAGGGUGAUCGGCCACACUGGGACUGAGACACGGCCCAGACUCCUACGGGAGGCAGCAGUAGGGAAUCUUCGGCAAUGGACGGAAGUCUGACCGAGCAACGCCGCGUGAGUGAAGAAGGUUUUCGGAUCGUAAAGCUCUGUUGUAAGAGAAGAACGAGUGUGAGAGUGGAAAGUUCACA
rnacentral:rRNA from 1 species